AGAUUGAACGCUGGCGGCAUGCUUUACACAUGCAAGUCGAACGGUAACAGGCCGCAAGGUGCUGACGAGUGGCGAACGGGUGAGUAAUGCAUCGGAACGUGCCCAGUCGUGGGGGAUAACGCAGCGAAAGCUGUGCUAAUACCGCAUACGAUCUAUGGAUGAAAGCGGGGGACCGAAAGGCCUCGCGCGAUUGGAGCGGCCGAUGUCAGAUUAGCUAGUUGGUGGGGUAAAGGCCCACCAAGGCGACGAUCUGUAGCUGGUCUGAGAGGACGACCAGCCACACUGGAACUGAGACACGGUCCAGACUCCUACGGGAGCAGCAGUGGGGAAUUUUGGACAAUGGGCGCAAGCCUGAUCCAGCAAUGCCGCGUGCAGGAAG
rnacentral:rRNA from 1 species